GUAGGGAAUAUUGGGCAAUGGAAGGAAUUCUGACCCAGCCAUGCCGCGUGCAGGAAUACAGUCCUAUGGACUUUAAACUGCUUUUAUUAUAGAGUAACCUGGGGGACGUGUCCCCCACUGCAAGUAUAUAAUGAAUAAGCAUCGGCUAACUCCGUGCCAGCAGCCGCGGUAAUACGGGGGAUGCAAGCGUUAUCCGGAUUUAUUGGGUUUAAAGGGUGCGCAGGCUGAUCGGUAAGUCAUGGGUGAAAAGUCACUGCUUAACAGUGAUCGUGCCUAUGAUACUGCCGGACUAGAGUUUAAGAGGUGUAACUGGAAUGUGAUGUGUAGCGGUGAAAUGCUUAGAUAUGUCACAGAACGCCAAUCGUGAAGACAGGUUACAAACUUAAUACUGACGCUCAUGCACGAAAGCGUGGGGAUCAAACAGGAUUAGAUACCCCUGUAGUCC
rnacentral:rRNA from 1 species